GACGAACGCUGGCGGCGUGCUUAACACAUGCAAGUCGAGCGGUAAGGCCCUUUCGGGGGUACACGAGCGGCGAACGGGUGAGUAACACGUGGGUGACCUGCCCUUAGCUCUGGGAUAAGCCUGGGAAACUGGGUCUAAUACCGGAUAUGACUCCAUGACGCAUGUUGUGGGGUGGAAAGCCUUGUGCGGCUAGGGAUGGGCCCGCGGCCUAUCAGCCUGUUGGUGGGGUGAUGGCCUACCAAGGCGACGACGGGUAGCCGGCCUGAGAGGGCGACCGGCCACACUGGGACUGAGACACGGCCCAGACUCCUACGGGAGGCAGCAGGUGGGGAAUCUUGCGCAAUGGGCGAAAGCCUGACGCAGCGACGCCGCGUGA
rnacentral:rRNA from 1 species